rnacentral:rRNA from 1 species
GAGACUAGCUCUCGGGUGACGAGCGGCGGACGGGUGAGUAAUGUCUGGGAAACUGCCUGAUGGAGGGGGAUAACUACUGGAAACGGUAGCUAAUACCGCAUAACGUCGCAAGACCAAAGUGGGGGACCUUCGGGCCUCAUGCCAUCAGAUGUGCCCAGAUGGGAUUAGCUGGUAGGUGGGGUAACGGCUCACCUAGGCGACGAUCCCUAGCUGGUCUGAGAGGAUGACCAGCCACACUGGAACUGAGACACGGUCCAGACUCCUACGGGAGGCAGCAGUGGGGAAUAUUGCACAAUGGGCGCAAGCCUGAUGCAGCCAUGCCGCGUGUGUGAAGAAGGCCUUCGGGUUGUAAAGCACUUUCAGCGGGGAGGAAGGCGGUGAGGUUAAUAACCUCGUCGAUUGACGUUACCCGCAGAAGAAGCACCGGCUAACUCCGUGCCAGCAGCCGCGGUAAUACGGAGGGUGCAAGCGUUAAUCGGAAUUACUGGGCGUAAAGCGCACGCAGGCGGUCUGUCAAGUCGGAUGUGAAAUCCCCGGGCUCAACCUGGGAACUGCAUUCGAAACUGGCAGGCUAGAGUCUUGUAGAGGGGGGUAGAAUUCCAGGUGUAGCGGUGAAAUGCGUAGAGAUCUGGAGGAAUACCGGUGGCGAAGGCGGCCCCCUGGACAAAGACUGACGCUCAGGUGCGAAAGCGUGGGGAGCAAACAGGAUUAGAUACCCUGGUAGUCCACGCUGUAAACGAUGUCGAUUUGGAGGUUGUGCCCUUGAGGCGUGGCUUCCGGAGCUAACGCGUUAUAUCGACCGCCUGGGGAGUACGGCCGCAAGGUUAUAACUCAUAUGAAUUGACGGGGGCCCGCACAAGCGGUGGAGCAUGUGGUUUAAUUCGAUGCAACGCGAAGAACCUUACCUGGUCUUGACAUCCACUGAACUUUCCAGAGAUGGAUUGAUGCCUUCGCGAACUGUGAUACAGGUGCUGCAUGGCUGUCGUCAGCUCGCGUUGUGAAUGAUGAGUUACGUCCCGCACCGAGCGCAGCCUUAUCUUUGUUGCUUUCGUUUCGGCGGGGACUCAACGAAACUGCCAGUGAUAACUGCAUGAACGUGGGGAUGACGUCAGUCAUCAUGUCCCUUACGACGGGCUACACAGUGCUGCAUGGGGUGGCAAGAGAUCUACUUUGGAAACGGGGGACUAAGAGUAAGUCCAAUUUGAUUGG